AUUUUGGCAGAAUUUAUUAUAGAUAACAUUGCGUUUCUGGUGGCAUUACAAAGGAUGAAAGCUCCAUUAACCUGUUAAGCACAGAGGGUAUAAAAAUGGUAAUUGGUAGAAAAUCGUGGAGACCAGCGGGGAGGUUUUGCCGCAGUGCUGUGUCCUCUGUAGGUGAGGGAGAAGCAGGUAGCUGUUGCUGCUGGAGGUCAGCUCCAUGUCAUUCCAGCCUGGGUCUCUUAUGGAAACUUCUGAAAAGGAGAAGUUUUCCUUUGCAUUUACAAACAGAACAGGAGAUGAGCUUUCUGCAGUCAGAGGCCGUCCUGCUACUGUGUUUCAAGAAUUCCCAAGGAAGGAAAGUGGACCGAGGAUACAAUCACUGGAACAAAACAUCAGCUUACGGUGGUUUUCAGGGUUCCUGAAAAGCAUCAGAAUGCAUUGAAAACAUUUCUUAGGGUGAUGGAAGAGAAGAUCAAAGCUGCAGCUGGGACUGGGUGCCAGUGCUGUCAGCUUCAAACACUGGUGUGCCGUUGAGGAAGACAAG
rnacentral:lncRNA from 1 species